UGCUUAACACAUGCAAGUCGAACGGUAACAGGCCUAGCUUGCUAGGUGCUGACGAGUGGCGGACGGGUGAGUAACGCGUAGGAAUCUGCCUCGUAGUGGGGGAUAACACUGGGAAACUAGUGCUAAUACCGCAUAAUCCCUGAGGGGGAAAGGAGAAAUCCGCUAUGAGAUGAGCCUGCGUCAGAUUAGCUAGUUGGUGGGGUAAGAGCCUACCAAGGCGACGAUCCGUAGCUGGUCUGAGAGGAUGACCAGCCACACUGGGACUGAGACACGGCCCAGACUCCUACGGGAGGCAGCAGUGGGGAAUCUUGGACAAUGGGGGAAACCCUGAUCCAGCGAUGCCGCGUGUGUGAAGAAGGCCUUCGGGUUGUAAAGCAC
rnacentral:rRNA from 1 species